AUUGAACGCUGGCGGCAGGCCUAACACAUGCAAGUCGAGCGGAGGGAGGGAGCUUGCUCCUGGAUUCAGCGGCGGACGGGUGAGUAAUGCCUAGGAAUCUGCCUGGUAGAGGGGGAUAACGUCCGGAAACGGGCGCUAAUAUCGCAUACGUCCUGAGAGAGAAAGUGGGGGAUCUUCGGACAUCACGCUAUCAGAUGAGCCUAGGUCGGAUUAGCUAGUUGGUGGGGUAAAGGCCUACCAAGGCGACGAUCCGUAACGGGUCUGAGAGGAUGAUCAGUCACACUGGAACUGAGACACGGUCCAGACUCCUACGGGAGGCAGCAGUAGGGAAUCUUCGACAAUGGGCGAAAGCCUGAUCGAGCAAUGCCGCGUGUGUGAAGAAGGUCUUCGGAUUGUAAAGCACUUUAAGUUGGGAGGAACGACAGUGUGAUAAUCCCUGGCUGUUUUGACGUUACCAACAGAAUAAGCACCGGCUAACUUCGUG
rnacentral:rRNA from 1 species